UUGGGAGGCUCUGCCCUCUCCCUAAUGGAGAGUCCCUGGAAACAAUAGUUUUAAUGUGGACUCCUCUGGCCUCCUGAGGGCCCCUCAACCUCCGUAGCUGGCCUUCUGCCUGCAUUACUCACAGGUCUUCCCGUUGUGAGCCCUCACUUCUGGAGUUGGGAAAGAUUAAGAAUUUUUGAAAACUUUUUAGAAGACCUGGUAAUGGAGGUUUUCUGAAGAUAAAGAUUUUCCAGGAAUGGAAGAGGCAGAUGGAGAUCUGUUUCGUGAUCAAUGCAGAACUCGGUGCCUUCUUCAAUCUUAUCCAACUACAAGCACAAAGAGACUUGGUAUCUGUAUCUUAAGGAUCUUAAUUAAGGCAACGAAUUCCUGAAGAAAGACCCAGAGACAGGAGAGACCCUAGUGAAGUAGACACACAGAGGGAGGACAGCCAUGUGACAACAGCAGAGAUUGGAGUGGUGCAUCUGCAAGUCAAGGAAGCCAAAGAUUGACAGCCAUCACCAGACCUAGAGGCAAUCAAGGAUUCUUCCUUACAGGUUUCAGGGUGAGUGUGGCCCUGCUGACAGCUUGAUGUCAGACUUGCAGCUCCUAGAACUGUGAGACAAUAAAAUCUAUUAUUUUAAGCCACCCCAUUUCUGGUACUUUGUUAUAUCAGCCCUGGGAAAUUAAUAUAGUGACUUUAAGGGUUUCUACCUUCCUUGGCCCUCCCCAACAGGUCUCACUGAUUCUGUCAGUGAACAUAGCAAACAUCUUUGGAACCUAAAUCAGAUUACAUGAUUUAACCAUUAGAGUAUACUUAUGGUGGGGAGGGUAUAGCUCAGUGGUAGAGUGCACACUUUGCAUCCACCAGGCCCUGGGUUCAAUCCUCAGUACCUCCAUUAAAAAUAAACAAACAAACCUAAUU